rnacentral:rRNA from 1 species
CACGCCGUAAACGAUGAUAACUAGCUGUCUGGGUGCAUGGCACUUAGGUGGCGCAGCUAACGCAUUAAGUUAUCCGCCUGGGGAGUACGGUCGCAAGAUUAAAACUCAAAGGAAUUGACGGGGGCCUGCACAAGCGGUGGAGCAUGUGGUUUAAUUCGAAGCAACGCGCAGAACCUUACCAGCGUUUGACAUCCUCAUCGCGGAUUCCAGAGAUGGAUUCCUUCAGUUCGGCUGGAUGAGUGACAGGUGC